CUAAGGCAUACCCCCAAAAAGAGAUUGGUAGUGAAGCACGACUCAUCAUAGAGCGAACCAUAUCCAAUAAGGUUCGAUUACGCCUUUCUGCCACACCAUUCAACUGCGGUGUCCUAGGAGGCGUCAAUUGUGAAACUAUUCCACACUCCUUGAGAUAAUCGUGGAAUUCAAGACUUAGGUACUCUCCUCCUCGAUCGGAUCGAAGCAUCUUGAUUUUCCUGCCCAAUUGAUUCUCCACUUCAUUCUUGAACUCUUUGAACUUUUCAAAGGUGUCUGACUUUUGCUUGAUUAAGUAGAUAUACCCAUAUCUACUAUAGUCAUCGGUAAAAGUCACAUAGAAGCGGUUCCCAUCCUUCGUGGUUGAUCUAAACGGUCCACAUACAUCGGUAUGUAUUAGGUCCAAUAGACCCUCGCCCCUUUCACAUGUACUCGUGAAGGGUGACUUAGUCAUCUUUCCAAGCAAACAAGACUCGCAUGUGUCAUCUUCCCUAAGGUCGAAUGACUCCAACACUCCAUCCUUUUGGAGUUGGGCUAUGCGUUUCUUGUUGACAUGUCCAAGACGACAAUGCCACAAGGAUGCUUUAUCCAUACUAGUGGAAGAAUCAAUAUUCAAAACAUCAUUUCCUAAGUUAUCAACAAUCAUAACGGUUUCAUAUAUUCCAUUACAUGGUAUAGCUUCAAAGUAAAAGACACCAUUUAGAUAAGCCAAAAUAGAACCAUUCUCAUUAUUAAAAGAAAAUCUAAAUCCUUGUCUAUAUAAACCAUGAAAUGAAAUGAUGUUUCUUGCCAUUUCUGGCGAAUAGCAACAAUUGUUCAAAUCUAAAACUAAACUAUUCCUAAGCACUAAGGAAUACACUCCAAUCUUGGUCACAGGCGACGAUCUUCUGUUCCCCAUGAUUAGAUUGAUCCUUCCUUGCUCCACAUCCCUACUUCUUCUUAGUCCCUGCACAUUAGAACAAAUGUGAUAACCACAACCGGUAUCAAGAACCCAAGAAAUAGCAUGAUUAGAAUCGUUAGAUUUGAUUGUAUAUAUACCUGCGAAAGAUGGCUUGAUCUUUCCUUCUUUGAUUGCUUGCAGGUAAUCCGGGCAGCUUCUCUUCCAAUGUCCUAUCUUGUGGCAGUGGUGGCACUCUGCCUCCUUCGGGUUAGAGCAGGGCUUAGCGGGAUCAACUUUGGUCCCACUAGAAGAGGCACCAUCUCGGGCUUUCACCUUGCGAUAGUUCUUCGAUGAAGCUUUCCUCUUCUUUCCCUUCCCUUGUCCAAUAGCCAAGACAGGAGCAGCGGGCGGAUUGGGAGUAGGUGCAACAGACUUGUCUUUGAAGUUGCUCUCAGCAACCCUCAAGAGACCUUGGAGCUUGCUUAGGGUGACCUCUUCUUUGUUCAUGUGGUAGGUCAUCCUAAAUUGAUUGUACAUCGGAGGCAAAGAGUGAAGCACCAUGUCGAUCGCCAAAUCCUCACCGAAGUCAACAUUUAACUUGCGAAGGCGGUCGACAUACCUUUGCAUCUUUUGCAAGUGCACGGUAAGAGAUUCUCCAUGACCCAUCUUCGCGGAAAUCAUGUUAGUGAAAAUCUCGUACCUCUCUUGUCUCGCGUUUUGGUGGUACCUCUCCAAUAAGUCUUGGUGCAUCUCGUACGGGUACAUGUCCUCGUAGGACUUUUGGAAUUCGGAGUUCAUGGUGGCAAUCAUGAUGCAAUGUACCUUCGUUGCAUCUCGCUCAUGAGUCUCAAAAGCGGUGAUUUCGGCCGGAGUAGCGAUUUCGGGGUUGAUUUUCUCGAGCUUCUCAUCGAGGACAUACUCCUUAUCCUCAUAGCGAGCAAUGGUGCGAAUGUAUCUUAUCCAUUCGCUAAAGUUCGUUCCAUCGAAGGUGACCUUUUGGCAAAGGCUCAUCAACGUGAAAGAACUAGCAGCAGCGUUGUUUGCGUUCGACAUCUACAAUUAGAAAAGGACAAAGAUAGAUUAGAAUAAGAAUCCCUAAUUAUCACCCAAUAAGAAAAUUAGGGCUAGGAUCCAACAAUAACAUUUACAUACUAGAAAAGGGAUGCCGUAAUCUAACAUGCAAAUAAAUUGAAGGUAAGUGAAUGACGAUUCACUAAUUCUCCAUCACAAAACUUAAACUAUUAGUCCUAAGUGUUUUUGAGAAUUCCUAGGUUCGGAUGAGAUUCAUUGAAACUAUUCAAUGGCAUGUUUAAAUCUCGAUAUGCCCCUCUUGUUUGUGACUGGGAUGCCGAGGAUCACAAAGCGGGUGUGAAUUACCAUGCAAAUUCACAUGGUGCCUUCAUUGUAACGAUCACCUAUUCGAUGUGCCGGUAAACCACACACGCUCCAUCGAACUAUGAUAAACAAUGAAUCACCCUUUGCCACCUUCGCUUAGAACCAAUUAGUGUGCCGGUAAACCACACACGCUCCACUAACAUCUUAGCAAGGUGCAAAGUGUAAUUUCAUGGGAUUGCAUCAAUUCACUUUUCCUAAAGUAACUAGGAUUGGGAAAUUUUAAAAUAUGUGUAGUUACUUUGUAUUUCUUAUUAUACUUUUAAUGAGAGGAUGAGGUUGCCCUAUCCUACCCGUUCGGCUAACGACCCUCCACCAAUCAAGCAAGCGGUGGGUGUGAGUGUACACCCAUUAAGCGCCAUUUUAUAGGCCGCAACCUUAUACCCACCUUAUAGAUCGGCUUCGUGAAUGAGGCCUACUAACGGUAAGACUAGCAUUUAGUUAUACAUAUAUAUAUUAUUCUAGUAAUAUCAUAUUAGUAUAGGGUUGUAUUUUAAAACUUUUAAAAUCUAGGGUUUGAAAUUUAAGUUGUCUAAAUUAAAACUUUUAAUCACAAAAGUAAAUUUCAAAACAUGAGGGUAGGUUUUAAACAUUUAAAACAUGGAGGAUCAAAUAACAAAUAAUUCCAAUUAACAAUUAAUAUCCUAAUUAUCUAUAUUUGAUUUAUUCAAGAUUUCUUUUUAAGAUAAUUACCAAAAUAAUUAAAAUAAUUAAUUAAUUAUCAUAUAAGGAAAUUAAAUAUUUAAUUAGUUGAUAAUUACCUUUAACUAGAUCAAGAUAAUAGUUAUAUUUAUCAGAAAAACGAAUUAAUGUUGAUCUAAUUAGUUUAUGGUAAGUUAAGAUAAGAUAAACACAAAGAAAUCCCGAAUCUGGCCAUUCCUGACGCCUGGACUCGCCGAGUGCACAAAUGGACUCGCCGAGUCAGGCCUACUCGCCGAGUCCACUUUGGGACUCGCCGAGUCCAUGACUCAGAAACCAAAAAAUCGAAUUUUGCAGGUUUGUUUCAGUUAAUCAAGCAACAAUUUAAAGAAAACCAAGCUAGGCUCUGAUACCACUGAUGGGUUUUAGCCAUAAGAACUUUCCUAUGUGCGCAUGCAAAACCCUAAUGCUUGGAUCUAGGCUUUCUAAUAAACAUGCAUUGAAUCCAAGUCUUCUAAUGACUAAUUAGGUUAAAUAACAACAUUGAAACAGAUCUAGAAUCAUACCUUUGAGUUCCUUGUUGAUCUUGAGGUCUUGGAGCUUCUAGAGUCACAAGUGUCACUCCUCUAAUGGCUUACAAACACCAAUAGCAAUAAGAAUGAUUUAGGAGAGAGGAGAGGGGAGGAAUUCGACCAGAGUUCUCUUGCUUUUUCAGAAGUGUCGAAUUCCCUAUGCCAUGGGGUCUAUUUAUACUUGUAGACUCCUUAAGGAUUACAGAUAAGUCCCUAUCAGAUAAUCUUCUCUUAAGGCUAUCCAAAUCCAUUCCUAGAUAACUCUAAUGGACGAUUUUAGCUAUCCUAAUCCUCUUAGAAUUCGUCCAUAGCAUAUCCAAAUGGAUUUACAGUCUAAAGCUUAACUAUCAAACAAUUGACAGUUUAUACCCCUUUAUUUAAUUAAUCUCUUUAAGUCACCAAAUUAAUUCUAAUUAAUUCUAUGACUUAUAUUAAUCAAAUAACAAAUAUAUUAUUCAUUAUAUUAUUCUCAUAAUAUAUUAAUAAUAUUUACUCUCUCUUAAUAAAUCAUCCUAUCAAGUUGCUAUGGUGAAGGCAACCCAAAAGGACCAUGCACAACCGGAUCAAAUACUUGCCUAAUAUAGUUACAGCCUUAGACACUAUUCCAACAGUCUCCCACUUGGAUAAGUCUAGUAACUAUACAAGUACAAUUCGGUUUGCAAUCGUAGCUCUCAAAGACGCUGUCAACUCUGAUCUAAUCAAUCUUGUCCUUUAGAUAAGGGAACGUACAGUCCUCUGUUAGAUAUCAUGCUGACAAUCCUAUGGAAUGGUUAGUCAAGCAUUUAGGUUUCUCGAUCUCUGAUUUAUUUGACAUAGAACUUAAUCGAACACAUCAAUUCAGUUCUGACCGGGCCCGGCACAUAAGUCAAAUCAAAUCAUCGAGCGGCCGAGAUAUCGCUUUUACCUUCUUAGAUAAAAGUUACAGAUAAACUUCGACUUAUAUGCAUUUACUUAUUCAUUUACCAACUAUACACAACAAUACGUUUUAUAACACCAAGUUACUGAUGCGUUUUCGUAUUAUCAAUGUACAAUCAAUUAACAAAUAAUAAACCAUAUAUCUAGGUUUUAAGACUAUAUGAUAUUAUCGUCUUGCGAUCACCUUUUAUAUCGUAUUCCAUAAGGUGAUUCCAGCAAGCGCGGGUUUAUUCCAAUGCUCAAAACUAGUUCAUAAGCACUCAUGAACGUUGCAGCAAUCCUUUGCUAUGUCUAACACCAUUUAGACAUUCUACACACCAAUUCAUGACAAUCUUCAUUCAUAUCUACUCCCAACAUAUGAACGAUUGUGGACCAUUUGAACAAUUCGAUUAUUCCUAAUAAACUCAAUUAUUCUGGAAGUCAAAACAUGCAAAGUGAAACAAUAGCUAAACAAUUAACAUAAGAUAGUAACAUUACUCAUAAAUAAAACUCCUUUAUUUAAUCAUCAAAUGUUAAUUACAUUUAUCUAUUACACGUUUCUAAUACUAUCUAAUCUAUGCUAAUAUCAUCCUUCAGCCCAAUACUCCUAGCAUGCUGCAAGUGCUUAACCCUACUCAGUCCCUUCGUAAGCGGAUCUGCUGGGUUAUCUUCUGAUGAUAUCCUCUUCACUACGAGUUGUCCUUCUUCUACACGAUGUCUAAUGAAGUGAUACUUUCUGUCGAUAUGUCUUGAUCUACCAUGAUCCCUCGGUUCCUUGGUCAAGGCAACCGCGCCUUCGUUAUCACAGAAAAUCUCCAUUGGCUCCUUUAUGGCAGGUACAACUCCAAGAUCACCGAUGAAGUUCUUUAGCCAUAUUGCCUCCUUCGACGCUUCGCUCGCUGCAAUGUACUCUGAUUCGCACGUUGAAUCAGCUACGGUUUCCUGCUUGGAACUCUUCCAUGUCACUGCUCCUCCAUUUAGGGUAAAGACCCAGCCCGACUGCGAACGGUAGUUGUCCCUGUCGGUCUGAAAACUGGCGUCACUAUACCCUCGCACCUUCAAGUCAUCACUCCCUCCGAGGACUAAGAACCAUUCCUUCGUCCUCCGAAGGUACUUAAGGAUAUUCUUCACCGCAAUCCAAUGUGCUUUGCCAGGAUUCCCUUGAUAUCUGCUAACCAUGCUCAAAGCGAAGGCUACAUCAGGGCGAGUACAAGUCAUAGCGUACAUGAUUGAGCCAACUGCGGAAGCGUAUGGUACUCGGCUCAUUUCUGCUAUCUCAGCUUCGGUACUCGGACUUUGAGUCUUACUCAAUUUGGCAUUACUUUGUAUCGGUAGUUCUCCCUUCUUUGAGUUUUCCAUACUAAAACGUUUUAGUACCUUCUCUAAGUAAGUAUUCUGACUAAGUCCAAUUAGUCUCUUACUUCUUUCUCUUACUAUCCUUAUUCCCAAAAUGUAAGAAGCCUCUCCGAGGUCCUUCAUAGCGAAGCACUUCCCGAGCCAGGACUUAACCUCCUGCAGAGUCGGGAUGUCGUUUCCUAUGAGUAAUAUGUCAUCGACAUAUAGAACGAGGAAGCUUACUAUACUCCCACUGGCUUUGACAUAUACACAAGAUUCGUCUUCGCUUCGUACAAAUCCAAACUCUUUGACUUUCUCAUCGAAGCAAAGAUUCCAUCUGCGAGACGCUUGCUUAAGUCCAUAAAUGGACUUCUCAAGCUUACACACUCUAUUCGGAUGCUUCGGAUCCACAAACCCCUCUGGCUGAGCCAUGUAAACAUCCUCAGCCAACUUUCCGUUAAGGAAAGCGGUCUUGACAUCCAUUUGCCAAAUCUCAUAAUCAUGAAAUGCGGCAAUAGCUAGCAUCACUCUAAUAGAUUUAAUCUUCGCAACUGGUGAGAAGGUCUCAUCAUAGUCAACUCCGGGAGUUUGAGUAAAGCCCUUCGCAACCAAUCGCGCUUUAUAUGUGUGUACGUUUCCAUCCACGUCGGUCUUCUUCUUGAAGAUCCAUUUGCACCCAACGGUCUUACGUCCGGGCACAUAAUCAACCAAAUUCCAAACUUGGUUAUCAUACAUGGAUUGGAUCUCGCUAUCCAUUGCCUCUUUCCAUUUUGCAGACUCCGGGCCUGCCAUGGCUUCCUUAUAGCUAUUAGGUUCAUCAAGAUUUAUUAGUGUACCAUCACUAAUAUACGUGUCCCCUUCGGUAGUAAUAUGAAAACCAUAAAACUGGGGAUGAACUCUAACUCUAUCGGAACGUCUAAGAGGUAAGGAUUCGUCAAUCGGUUCAACCGGAGUUUCCUCCUCGGGUUGAGUGCCAGCGGUAGAGGUUCCUUCAUCUAUCGACUCUUGAAUCUCUUCAAGUUCGAUUUGCCUCCCACUGUCUCCUUGGCUUAUGAGUUCUCGCUCUCGGAAAACUCCUCUCCUCGCAACGAAGACAACAUUGUCCUUCGGUCUAUAGAAGAGAUAUCCAAAGGAUUUCUGCGGGUAGCCGAUGAAAAUACAUCGCUCACUACGAGGUUCGAGCUUGUCGUGAGUAUCUCGUCUUACGAAAGCCUCGCAACCCCAAACCUUGAUAUGUGCUAACGAGGGAGCCUUCCCUGUCCACAUUUCGUGAGGUGUUUUGGCAACCUUCUUAGUAGGGACUCGGUUAAGGAUAUGGGCGGCAGUCUCUAAGGCAUACCCCCAAAAUGAGAUAGGUAGUGAAGCACGACUCAUCAUAGAGCGAACCAUGUCUAACAAGGUUCGAUUACGCCUUUCUGCCACACCAUUCAACUGCGGUGUCCUAGGUGGCGUCAAUUGUGAAACUAUUCCACACUCCUUGAGAUAGUCGUGGAAUUCAAGACUUAGGUACUCUCCUCCUCGAUCGGAUCGAAGUAUCUUGAUUUUCCUGCCCAAUUGAUUCUCCACUUCAUUCUUGAACUCUUUGAACUUUUCAAACGUUUCUGACUUUUGCUUGAUUAAGUAGAUAUACCCAUAUCUACUAUAGUCAUCGGUAAAAGUCACAUAUAAGCGGU
rnacentral:lncRNA from 1 species